GCCAAGACGCAGCAGCUGGGCCAUCAGGCCGCUCUCAACCUUGGCAGACAGAGGGGACCAUGCUCGGCAGGUCCAAGGCCAGCUGGGUGGGCGGUGCCUGCAGGCUACUGAGUUCCUCCUCUGGGGCCCAGGCUCCCCGGAUGGGAGAGAUACGAGACUGGACAGCAGUUGGACCGGUCCCCCGCCCCCCAGGCUUGGGGCUGCCUGUUCCCUCCUGGACAGCAGGGAGGGACAGCUGGUGCUGGUGGCACUCAGCGGGUGACACGGUCCCAGGAGUGCUUCUCACAGACGACUGCAGCCCCCACGUCACAGAUGAGGAAGCCGGAGACAUAGCACCAGCCAGCAAGUCAGGGUGGACCUGGUGAGACCCCCAGCGGCCCGGCCCAGCCCCGCGCUCCCUGCAGCCUGCUCCUCCCAGGGGUCCACACGUGCCCAGGGAGAGGCACGCAUGUCACAGCCACGCGGCACAGGCCAGCACUGUGAUGCCGCCCCGCCAGCUUCCUGGGCUCCCCCAGCGUCUGCCGGGUCCCAAGCCCAUCCCCAGGGCACCGGGAGACCAGUGACAGGUGGUCUGGGUGUGCAUGACAAGGUCCCACGGGGACCUCCAUCCCCACGUGGCCCCGCCCUCUGUGAGGCCGUCUCUCUGGAGCCCAGAGCCCCCGAGCCUCUCCCAGGGAGCAGCCAGGAGGCUCCAGGCAGCUUCAUAGCCCCCCAGAGGCUGGGGUUCCUUCCCCGAGCUCAGCCUCAGGCUCUUCUCUCUGUCAGCACGGUCAGCUCCAGUGAGAAGCCCCAAGUCUAAAGAAACACAGGAGACAUGGGAGAGGCCCCGAAGGAGAAGCCGAAACCAGCCCAGCUUCCACAGCCAGGUCGUCACCUAGGGACGCUGCGCCGGGCUGCAGGGACCCAGGCCUUCCCCCAGCCGCCCCGGAAUCUGAGAAACCCCGGACAGAGAAGCCUCGAGGCCCAGGGCUGAGCCCCUGCAGACUGGAGAACCCCCGUUUCCCAAGUGCAGCUCACCAGGCACCUCCACUGCUGAUUGAGACCCAGGACACGUCUCGUGGAGAAGCUGGGUGCGCCCUGCAGGAGCUCUCAGGACACUUCGUGCAGGGAACAGGGGCCGCUCUCAGCCAAGUGGAGGAGGCAGAAGGGGACGGCGGGCCUGACGGAUCGCGAUGGCUCCCUGACCCGCACCCUGGCCCUGCGACACCCUGGGCCGGUGCUGAGCAGACGGCAGCAGUGGCUGGGCCUCAGGCCUCUCCCGGGAGCCUCCCACACCAGCCUCGGCCGGCGCUGGGGCCCUGGCCCCGGGUUUGCCUCCAUCUGCCCGCUGAGGGCUGGGACCCCAGGUGGAAAGAGCUGUUGGGUCUCUGUCCUGCAGGCGAGGGCAGGAGAAGCUACUCAGUUCAACCGAGCACCGACUCCGUGAACGCCGUCUAUGUCCAGGCCCACAUGAGAUCGACGAAGAGCUCAUAGCGAGCGGGCUGCACAGCUUGUGAGGAGAUGGACGCCUGGAGCCACCGGGAUUCUGCUGCCCUUGGUGUAGCCGUGGCCUGGCAGGGGCUUUUCAACACCCACCGGGGAGCCCCAGGUACCGCUGAGCCCGAGAGCCACUGUGCCCGGGCUAGGAGCAGUCAGACUCUGCCUGGGGGUGCCCCUGGAGCGUCCACUUCUUCAGUCACUGCAGAAGCUGCGAGAGCUGUUAAGCGGACGGUCUUGGAGGGAAAGAGGUUCUUGAACAGACGAGUCUUCUCAGCUUGAUUUCAGCCAGGGCCUUGCCCCGCGCUACAGCCUGAGCUUACUCCUUCCUGGAACCGUGUCCCUUCUGUCCAUCCUGACUUUGAGGCUAAAUCAGCACAAACACGCAGUCAGGUCCGUGAACUGCCGCUCGACGCCGCAGGUGGCUGGCAUCCAUCCCGGCCGAUGCGUGGCUGCGGUCACCUCGGAUAAAACGACCCGAGAGGCAAAAACGAGGCGCAGCCGCCACCUCCCGUCAGCAGCCUCCGCUCCCCGCCCACCUCCCGUAACUCGGGGACUGAAAUGCUCCCCCUCCUGGGCUCCACUUUAAAGCUCAGCUCAUUUACCUUGAAAAGGGGUAAAAAGCAGGUCCUUCAGGUAAGGGACCACCUGCCCAGGUCCCCGCAGGCUUUACCAGAAGGUCCGUGCGGCUCACAGCCUUGGUGGUGGUGUGGCUGGCGCCCUGGAUACCACUCGCCUACAAGGAAAGGCCCCCGUCCCCGAGUGAGGGCCCCUCCGCCCCGCACCUACUGUGUGUGCGGCCCCGCCCGGCCGUCGGCGCCCCCAGUGGGGCUUGGACGAGGGGACCACGUGGUUCUGCCGAGGCCCGUGCUGCCUGCUGGGCCAGGAGUGACGCGUCCUUGGUCCCUGACAGGGUCUCCUGAUCCCCGCUGGACCCGUGGCCCGUGGGCUGCCGUGAGAGCUUGCAGUUGGGUAACACAGCUCUGGACGCGGCCUUCCUACAAUGACUGUCAGAACAGACGAUCCACAGCAAGAUGGAGCAACGUGGGGAAACGGCAAUUUAACAGAUUACAUCACCAACAGGACACGAGCCCCUCCUCAGCCCAGCUCUGCCACGUCCUGGCCGUGUAAUCUCAGGCGGCCAGCCCCUGCCGGUGCCUUGUCUGUAAGAGGUGCCCACGUGCAGACCCAUCAGGACGACGCUGCACGGACGUGUUAGCACACCUCAAUCGCCGGACCGUGGGCAGAUGGAGACCCUGCAGGACUCGCCUCCUUGUUCUGAAGCUGCUGUCUCCAAAGCAGCUUUCCCAGAAGAACCGGGACUGCACGAUGUCAUUCAAAAGCAGACACAAGACUGAGGGGAGAGCUGACAAAGGAGCUCGGGGACCAAGUGGCGCUGGACACACAGGGCUGCCCACGGCCACUGCACACCUGCCCACGGGGUGAACGCAGGGGCCCGGUGUUUGCCAAGACUCUGGACCAAGGAAACAGAGGCCGGCCCCACGAUUCAGGCGUCUCCUAAUCUGUGCUGUGUCAGAGUUUCUCCUCAUGAAUAGUUUCAAAUACAGAGAACGCUUGAAAAAUAACCCAUUGCGCUGGACUGUCCGCCUGCUUUCUCCUGUGGAUCCGUCUCACGUAGACGUGGUGGCCCUUCACCCCCAAGAACCUCGCUCUGUGUCUGCCACCGCCCAGUCACACUCCUGUCACUGGGGACCUUUCCUGUCCCCGCGGCCCACCCCAUGCCUCUGACCACAGAACUGGUCAGGACUCGGGCCUUGCAUCAAUCCGGUUGGCCAAAAGUUUGUUCGGGUCUUUCCGUGAGACUUUUUUCUUUUUGGUCAAUUCAAUAUUUGUUUUUACGUCUCUUUUGUCUCUCCAAACAUUCUCUCCUUUUCAGUUCAGUUACUCAGUCACGUCUGACUCUUUGCGACCCCAUGGACUGCAGCACACCAGGCCACCCUGUCCAUCACCAACUCCCGGAGUUUGCUGAAACUCAUGUCCCUUGAGUCGGUGAUGCCAUCCAACCCUCUCAUCCUCUAUCGUCCCCUUCUCCUCCCACCUUCAAUCUUUCCCAGCAUCAGGGUCUUUCCCAGUGAGUCAGCUCUUCACAUCAGGUGGCCAGAGUAUUGGAGUUUCAGCUUCAACAUCGGUCCUUCCAAUGAACACCCAGGACUGAUUUCCUUUAGGAUAUUCUCCCACAAAAGCUCAUUUCUCUUCAUCUGGAAGCACACAGACCCCUCAUCCCUUCAUACUGUUCAUGAUCUCAGAGCCAGUUCACUCUCACAGGAAAGAAAGUCCCUCGGACACACCCGCUGUCUCUCAGAGACGGGUUGCUGCCUUCCUUAGUAACUGCUGUUACGACGAAGAGCCUACUUUCUUGUCACUUGCGACUUGCGGACGCUCAAAACAACUAAAACAGGAGCAGAAUUCACGAGAACUGAAGUCCUGAGUCGGGCCUGCUCCAGGGGUCUUGGUCGCUGCCAAAAACAACAGACUCUUGAAAUUUCCUUGGAUUUUACCAAAGAAUCUUAGUUCCUUUGUAUCGCAUCCUGUUUAAGAGCCAGAUACAGAAUUUCUUGGGCCGGUUUUUUGAAUGUUCCUGUGUACUUUGUGGAAAGUUUUGGAAUUUGCCCUUUCAGCAAUGCAUCCAAGUCUUACAUGAGCCUCAAAUACAAAGACGUUCUUCACCUAAAGGGAAGUAAUCCCGGUUAAACUUGGUACAAAGUGGCCCUGGUGAGGCUGUGCCACCUGGACAGCGACUCUGGCCCACCUCCUGACUGGGGUGGUGGUCACGUCCUCGCCCACCUUCCCGGGCCGUCAGGGUGAGACACGGGGCGUGGAGGCGGUUGAAAGCGUCAUCUGAGACAGGGAGUGAAGUGGGUGACCUCUCCCUGCCAUCGUCCCCCAGAGCCUCAACCCUGGACCACCGCCGCCCCCACCCCCGAGGAUCUCAGCAGUGCUACCCAUUCCUCCCUGGGAGCGUCCGGGACUGAGCUCACGUCCUGCCUCGGGAGCCUGUCACGGUCCCCAGCAGCGGGACGGGAGGGCUGGAAGGUGCUCAGGCGUGGGCAGUGCCCCCCAGAGUUACCUCCACAUGGCCGGCGUCCCCCCAGGACGUGGGAAACAGACCCAGACGCAGAGAUGCCACGUGGAGAUGGGGGCAGAGACUGCAGAGAUGCUCCUACGGGCUGAGGACCACCCGCCGCCUCCACUGGCAUGUGGACAGGCCCCACUGGGCUCUGGGGGGAGCCAGGCCUGCAGGCACCGCGCCCCAGACUGGCUGUCGAGCAGGCCGCGUGGCCGCGGUGCUCAGCUGGUGGGCUCGGCGGCCACCGCGGGAGGCACUCACGGCUGGGAAAGGCCGCCUUGUCCGCGGACGGGCCACGGCUGUACCCGGGAGGGGGACUCGCACACGGUGAGAGGAAGCGUCAGCCUCACGGCAGUGGCGGGGAGACGGGGAAGCAAGGGGGCUUUCCAGGGCCCCGGCCGCACCUUGACCUGAAGAGGACGCGGGAGCUGCUUAACGAUCGUAUCAGCACGAGGACUCACACGUUCUCUCCCCAAACAGCAGACAGACGUGCCUGCCCAGUCCCCGUGCUGAGGAGGUGCCCUGUGUGGGGCGGGCAGCCGCUCACCUGGCACCCAGUGAAGCAACUCGCUCACUGAAAAGUUACUGGGUCGAGUAGAAAAUGCAGCCGAGUCCGGUCACACGUCGGGGCAGGACGCCACCUCCACAUCCACGACAGCAAACACCAGGAACACAGAGGCCUCCCUCUGUGGCCCCGCUGCUCACUCACUGAUAAGGAGAAGCCCGGGCCACGGCGCCUGGGGAUGGCCACCCCGCUUCUCGCGGUCCUCAGCAAGGACCCCACCACAGCCGACUCCCUGGCAUCACGGCGAUUCAAGGAUUGGCAAAUGACGCAACCCCGCCUGUGGGUUUUUUUUUUUUUUUUUAGCCCUCAUAGAAAAACUUUAUUGGAAAGCAGGGAAAACUACCAAGAUAUGAAUGAAGACAAAAAAUAAACAAAAGUUCAGGCAUAAAGUGCACGACCUUGGUUUAAGUGGGAAGGGACCCUUUGGUGGUUUGUAGUUAGUGACCUAUAUUUUCACUUUGUGGCGCUGCAGCUGCUACAGCUAAGCCGCGUCAGUCGUGUCCGACUCUGUGCGACCCC
ensembl:lncRNA